UACGUAGGGGGCGAGCGUUGUCCGGAAUCAUUGGGCGUAAAGCGCGUGUAGGCGGCCCGGUAAGUCCGCUGUGAAAGUCCAGGGCUCAACCCUGGGAUGCCGGUGGAUACUGUCGGGCUCGAGUCCGGAAGAGGCGAGUGGAAUUCCCGGUGUAGUGGUGAAAUGCGUAGAGAUCGGGAGGAACACCCGUGGCGAAGGCGGCUCACUGGGCUGACCUUGACGCUGAGGCGCGAAGGCGUGGGGAGCGAACGGG
rnacentral:rRNA from 1 species